rnacentral:rRNA from 1 species
GAUGAACGCUGGCGGCGUGCCUAAUACAUGCAAGUCGAGCGAACGGACGAGAAGCUUGCUUCUCUGAUGUUAGCGGCGGACGGGUGAGUAACACGUGGAUAACCUACCUAUAAGACUGGGAUAACUUCGGGAAACCGGAGCUAAUACCGGAUGAUAUUUUGAACCGCAUGGUUCAAAAGUGAAAGACGGUCUUGCUGUCACUUAUAGAUGGAUCCGCGCUGCAUUAGCUAGUUGGUAAGGUAACGGCUUACCAAGGCAACGAUGCAUAGCCGACCUGAGAGGGGGAGCGACAACACGGGAAGAAGAAACCGGACCAGACUCCGACGGAAGCAAGCAAUAGGGAAACUUCCGCAAUGGGCGGAGGCCUGACGGAGCAACGACGCGUAAGUGAUGAAGGUCUUCGAAUCGUAAAACGCGGUGAUUAGGGAAGAACAUAUGUGUAAGUAACUAUGCACAUAUUGACGCUACCUAAUCAGAAAGCCAGGGCUAACUACGUA